rnacentral:rRNA from 1 species
GACGUACGCUGGCGGCGUGCUUAACACAUGCAAGUCGAACGAUGAACCACUUCGGUGGGGAUUAGUGGCGAACGGGUGAGUAACACGUGGGCAAUCUGCCCUUCACUCUGGGACAAGCCCUGGAAACGGGGUCUAAUACCGGAUACGAGCCUCCACGGCAUCUUGGAGGUUGGAAAGCUCCGGCGGUGAAGGAUGAGCCCGCGGCCUAUCAGCUUGUUGGUGAGGUAAUGGCUCACAAAGGCGACGACGGGUAGCCGGCCUGAGAGGGCGACCUGCCACACUGGGACUGGGACACGGCCCAGACUCCGACGGGAGGCAGCAGUGGGGAAUAUUGCACAAUGGGCGAAAGCCUGAUGCAGCGACGCCGCGUGAGGGAUGACGGCCUUCGGGUUGUAAACCUCUUUCAGCAGGGAAGAAGCGAAAGUGACGGUACCUGCAGAAGAAGCGCCGGCUAACUACGUGCCAGCAGCCGCGGUAACAC